GGAUGAUAAGGGGUCCUUAGACCAAGACCUGCUACUUGAACCACACGGGAUUACCUUAUGAUACCUGUAUUGAGGACUCUGUCACUGGCAUUAAGAGCGUAUCUGGGAGGGUUACAGAGUACAUUUGCUGUAACCGCAUGGAGUCAUCCGUCGUUGUGGCACUGGAGG